AAAUCCCAACAUCUUCCAC
rnacentral:snRNA from 1 species